rnacentral:rRNA from 1 species
GAUGAACGCUGGCGGCGUGCCUAAUACAUGCAAGUCGAGCGAACAGACGAGGAGCUUGCUCCUCUGACGUUAGCGGCGGACGGGUGAGUAACACGUGGAUAACCUACCUAUAAGACUGGGAUAACUUCGGGAAACCGGAGCUAAUACCGGAUAACAUGUUGAACCGCAUGGUUCAACAGUGAAAGACGGUCUUGCUGUCACUUAUAGAUGGAUCCGCGCCGCAUUAGCUAGUUGGUAAGGUAACGGCUUACCAAGGCAACGAUGCGUAGCCGACCUGAGAGGGUGAUCGGCCACACUGGAACUGAGCCACGGUCCAGACUCCUACGGGAGGCAGCAGUAGGGAAUCUUCCGCAAUGGGCGAAAGCCUGACGGAGCAACGCCGCGUGAGUGAAGAAGGUCUUCGGAUCGUAAAACUCUGUUAUUAGGGAAGAACAAAUGUGUAAGUAACUAUGCACGUCUUGACGGUACCUAAUCAGAAAGCCACGGCUAACUACGUG